UACUUUUCUAUAAUGAAUAGAAAAUAAGAGUUAAAACUACCUAUGUGUCUGUACAGUUGGGUUAAUUUGUCCUAUGUAGAUUCCCUGGAUAGUUUUUCAAAUUUUGUUGGCUCCUUAGUUUUAGCAUAAUUGUACUUGAGCCAGCAAACCAACUGUUUUUGCUUCUACUUUUGUAACUAAUUUGCAUCUUCUUGAUGCCUUCAAUGGAACAUUUACUUCAUCAAAAAAAAUACUUGAGAAACAUGGACAAACAUAAGGGAAAGCUAAAAAGAGACGUGGACGGUGGAACUCUACUAAUAAAGAUAACAACUUACCCAGUGUAAUCCUACAAGUGGGGUCUACCUAUUGAACAAAAUACAAACGCUACUUAUCAAUCUAUCUACAAUAAAAUUAUAUAAAACUCAUUAUUGUAAAGCUAAAGCGUCACAUUAUCUCCAAUCUAUCAAUAUCAUCAAUCAAAAUUAACCUGAUAAAAUUAUUAGUUCAAUGAAGAUAAAAAAGGAAAGAAAUAAUAGAUUUAAAAUAUAGGAACUCUUUUGCAAAUAAUUAAUAAAAUGGUCCAUGGACCAUAAAAUUUAUUUUAAAAACAUCUUUUUAAAAUAAAGUAUAUAUGAACUCAUAAAAUAAUAACAAUAUAGCAAGACAUUAAGUUCAUUACAUCAGUAAGACAUCAACUUACAAAGUACUGCUAGUACUAGUGUACUGAUAUUGGAUAUGCAAGAAAAAAAAUAUAAAAAGAAGAAAAGGAAAAUAUAAGGAGAUAUAUAGUACUAACAUCUGUAAUGGAGUAAACAAGUGGUUUCACGUUGUAAUAGAAUAUGAGAGGAAGAAAUGGAAGAUAAAGAGUCUUCCUUUGAAAAUAGAAUAAUAUUUUUGAAAAUAGAAAAUAGAAUAAUAGUUUGAAAAAAUAAAAAAUAAAAGAAUUUUGGAAGUCAUUUGGUACGUACAUGGCGUAAUUACCACAAAUGCUCAUCUUCCCCUUGAGAAUUGGAGAGAGUAUUUUUUUUUUGAUAACCGAGAAAUCCGUCUGUGACCCGUCCUUUGGACCAAUCACAGCCUUCUAAACUCGGUGGAUAAUGCCCCCCCCCCCACACCCCAUUCUACCCUUCUCCACUUAAAUACCGG
rnacentral:lncRNA from 1 species